rnacentral:rRNA from 1 species
CCUACGGGAGGCAGCAGUAGGGAAUAUUGCUCAAUGGGGGAAACCCUGAACCAGCAACGCCGCGUGGAGGAUGAAGGUUUUCGGAUUGUAAACUCCUUUUGUUAGAGAAGAUAAUGACGGUAUCUAACGAAUAAGCACCGGCUAACUCCGUGCCAGCAGCCGCGGUAAUACGGCGGGUGCCAGGGUGACUCGGAAUCACUGGGCGUAAAGCGCGCGUAGGCGGGAUAGCAAGUCAGAUGUGAAAUCCUAUGGCUUAACCAGAGAACUGCAUUUUAAACUGUUAUUCUAGAGUAUGGGAGAGGUAGGUGGAAUUCGUGGUGUAGGGGUAAAAUCCGUAGAGAUCAAGAGGAAUACUCAUUGCGAAGGCGACCUGCGAGAACAUAACUGACGCUGAUGCGCGAAAGCGUGGGUAGCAAACAGGAUUAGAUACCCGAGUAGUC